AUGUGCUUCCUUUUCUUUUUCUACUUUUUUGCAUAAACUCUUGUGUUGCCAUUGGAAGUCCCUUCCCCGUCGUCAUGAUGUCCUUUUGAAUUGUUGGAUUAUCUCUAGAAAGUAAUGGUGAAUGGAUAAAAGAGAUAUGGAUUAUACUGUGAAUGGCCCUCUUUCAAAUUGUAGUCGGUCAAUUUAAGCAUGAAUACAAAUUCCUUGCCGCAAAGGCUCUCAAGUUGCAUUGGAACAUGAGUAUCACCUUUGGUCAUUCGAUUUACCAACUUCGAUGCCGAAGUAUCAAACAACUUUUAUGCAACCACAUUAAAAAGAACCAAAGUUGUGUUCCCUCCGCUGUCUUUUACCUUAAUGUAUAUCUUUUACCUUUGUGUGCACAAAAAAUUACUAUUUUUUGAAAGUAAACUUGUGGUACAAUGCUAACCGUUUCCAUACCUAACCCACGGGAAAUUACAUUCUUUUUAUAACUUAUUGCAUGUGUAGACGCCAUAUUUAGGUUCUAAAUUUUUUUUUUGCAUAAGUUGCACGAUAUAUAUUGCCAAUCAAAGUAGGUAUCUAUUUGACUGAUCUGAAUCUCCAAUGCAACGAUACAUUCCUAGGAAACAAAAGUUAAAAGAGAUGAAUAUGCAGUAGAAGCUUCUUGAUCUAUUGAAUUGGUCAUAAUAUACUAAGGGAUGUUAAGGUACUAACAUCUAUGUCAUAACUCUAGUCUGAAUCCAGUAACUCCAUAAUAGUCAUCUGAUUCUGGAACAUUGCGUCCGCAAUAGUUAUGUUACUUCC